rnacentral:rRNA from 1 species
UACAGAGGUCCCAAGCGUUGUUCGGAUUCACUGGGCGUAAAGGGUGCGUAGGUGGCAGGGUAAGUUUGAUGUGAAAUCUCCGAGCUCAACUCGGAAACUGCAUUGAAUACUAUCCUGCUUGAGGAUUGGAGGGGAGACUGGAAUUCUCGGUGUAGCAGUGAAAUGCGUAGAUAUUGGGAAGAACACCGGUGGCGAAGGCGGCGACCUGGUCCGAUACUGACGCUGAGGCGCGAAAGCGUGGGGAGCAAACAGG